CCUUCUAUUGCGUCACACAUCGGGGGCUCUGGAGUCCGUUGCUCUCUAAAGGACCCCACAACAAGGUUUCAAUUUGGACAUGACAUCACCAGGAAGCCUUCUCAUGCAUAUGUCUGAAGAAGUGCCCCUCGAGGUGCCCACAGAUUCUUCCUGCAGUUUGUGAAACUGCUCAUCAUCCAGUUGCAUCAUCAAUCCCAGCAUGCACGUUGGCAUUGUUCUUCCUGUGGCAUCCCAGAACAGAGAUCUCUAAGGUUCUGUUUGGCCUUCCCCUCCAUUUUAUGGUCUCCAUGGCUCAAUGGCGAACACUUGUGUGGAGGAUACGCACUGUGGACCAUGGGUGGCUUCUCCUUACCAUCACGGGGUCAUUCACUGCCACUGCCCCGCAUCGCAAAGGGGGAUCAGGCUGUGCAUGCUAGCCUGGAAAAGAUCAGGAUUCUAAAUUCAAAGUCACAUCUAUACUGAAAACUUAUCACUUUCACACCAAGAACUUGUAAAGAAACUGCCAUGGUAUGGAGCAGAAGUUGGAGCAGAGGCUUCUGGAAAGCGAAGGACCCUUGGUGGAGGCAUCGAUCCUUGUUUGCAAAGGGAUGGGUGUUCCUAAAGCAUGCACGCUCGUGGGAGAGCUCCUGGAGACAAGGGUAAAUAAGGCACAAGACUUCAUGAGGGAGAUGCUCUUCAGGCAAGAGCAAAGUCUGCUCACAGACAGGCUGCCUUCAGGUGGGAACUCAGGUCGGUGGGACAGAGGUACAUCAAUUCAUAGUUCUGAGACUAGGAAAGUUAAAGGCUCCCUUGCAAUGUGCUAUCCUUCUUUUAAUGUAACUUCCUAUUAGCAAAGGGGUAGUGACAUUUGAGGAGGGAGAAGAAAGUGGAGUAAAAAUGGCAGACGGGCAAGAAGGCUGCAGAGCCGGACAUCCUUGAGAAAACUCAGUUGAGAUGCAGUCGGUCAGCAUGCUGGGUAUUUCUUCCCCACCUACCCUUGACCACUUGAGUAUAGAGCUUAGACCUGACUUAUAGGAUGGUUCUUCUCUGUAGACAUGGAGGGACCCAGUGCUUUCUGGCCCCACAUCACCGACACUUUCAUGGUCCUUGCAAAUUUUGGACUCGCCAACAGAGAAGUCUGUCUGGACACUGGCAGCAGACCCUUAGCACGUCCAUCCUUCGAGCUACCGCAACCUGAGGAACUAGAGGGGUGAGAUCGAAUGCUCACAGUCUUGGGGAGCAGCCUUCAUGGGCUCUCUGCCCUGCACCCCAGAACCAAGAACACAUUCCUGCUCUGCCGUUCUCUUCACAUCUCCCUUCAGAGUGACAGAGUAAG